UCACACAGCCUUGCCUAAGUAGAGUGAACACAGAGCUAGCCCUCACAAGAUGCAGGAAGCAAGAGAGUGACAUGCAGGGGCCGGAGGAGCCCUGCCAUCACCUGCCCUGGGACUGCCAGCCAGCCCGCACCCAAGGAGCCAGGCGGUGCUGAGGUGAGAGACACAGAGAAAACCAACUGCGUGGUGGCACUUUCAGCUCCCAAACCUGGUGCUGCAUGUCCCAGAACCACCUGGGAGCUUUUUAAAAGCCGAUCUGCUGUGCCCUGGCCCAGAUCCACCAAGUGCAUCAGAAUCUCAGAGGAUGAGCCCAAGUCUGUGCUCCUCGGGCUCACAUGUGAGUGGACAGCCCGAAGCCAGAAUCUCCCCUGAGGAAGCGACGUGAGUUUGACUUCUCCUCUGUUGUGAGUUAGGAGAUGAAAGGCAAGUGCAAAAAAUUAUUCAAUUCAAGACAUGCCAGCUGCCUCUCUAUCUUGGAGAGGGGGGCAAAGGUGAGUAAGCCACGUGCUUAAUCUCGGGAGCUGAGCAUGUACGCGGCUGAGCAGGAAGAGGAUGCUGGUGGAAGCAGCAGUUCCUGGGUGGAAGCCAUCUUUGUUGGGACUGUGCUCUGGGAGGAGUACGCUCAAUCAGAACCUGAAAAGUAAGGUUCCUUAGACUGUGCCUGCAGGCCCUGCACCCAAGCAUAUUCCAGCACUAUUCACAAUAGCCAAGACAUGGAAACAAUCCAGGUGCC